AACGAACGCUGGCGGCAUGCCUAACACAUGCAAGUCGAACGAGACCUUCGGGCUUAGUGGCGCACGGGUGCGUAACGCGGUGGAACCUGCCCUUAGAUUUGGAAUAACUUCCCGAAAGGGGUGCUAAUACCGGAUAAUGUCCUCGGUCCAAAGGUUUAUCGCGUUUGGAUGGGCUGGGGUGGGAUUGGUUGGUUGUUAGGGUAAAAGCCUAUCAAGGCGAGGAUCCAUAGCUGGUUUGUGAGGAUGAGCAGCCACACUGGGGCGGAGACACGGUCGAGAAUCCUACGGGAGGCGGCAGUGGGGAAUAUAGGACAGUGGGGUGUGGCAUGAUCCAGCUAUGCCGGGUAAGUGAUGUAGGCCUGGGGGUUGUAAAGCACUUUUACACGGGGUGAUAAUGACGGUACCGGGAGAAUAAGCUCCGGCUAACUCCGUG
rnacentral:rRNA from 1 species